GUAAGAUCUUUGCAGAAAAACUAAAUGAAUUAUUUGCAUUGGUUUUCACAGCUGAGGAUGUUAGGGAGGGUAGGGGCUGGCCAGGUAACUUCCCAUGGAAGGGUGGAAUGUAGAAACAGAAUUCCCGCCCAAAGUGGAAUCUAGAAAACAAUAGGAAGCAGGCAGUUUCUUUGUCUUUGGCUGGUGUGGCACACCCAAGAGGAUGAACCAGAGACCUCAGGGAGUGGGGACUUCCCUGGUUUGAAAGCUUAGCUGGAACAAGGACAGCUUGAGGGUCCCUGGUGAGCAGCUCCAUGGAGCACACAUCCGUAAUGAAGCUGCCAGGAUGGCUGGUUUCACUCACCCCUUCGUUUGGGGGUCACAAUGAGAGAGGAAAAGUCCAAGUGUCUGGUACUUAAGGAGGAGUGGCUGGAAGGCCCAAUUUUGAGAGGCUCAGGAUUGGGUGGCUGCAGGUAUUAUCCUGCAAAGAG